rnacentral:rRNA from 1 species
CGUGUAGGCGGCUGGGCAAGUCGGAUGUGAAAGCCCGGGGCUCAACCCCGGAAUUGCAUUCGAAACUGCUCGGCUAGAGUCUCGGAGAGGAGGGCGGAAUUCCCGGUGUAGAGGUGAAAUUCGUAGAUAUCGGGAGGAACACCAGUGGCGAAGGCGGCCCUCUGGACGAUGACUGACGCUGAGACGCGAAAGCGUGGGGAGCAAACAGGAUUAGAUACCCUGGUAGUCC